rnacentral:rRNA from 1 species
AUGUACAUAACACGUGGACACUACCAAGAGUUGGGAUAACCCGGGAAACUGUGGAUAAUACCGGAUAGGCCAUUCCUACUGGAAUGUGGUUUGGCUGAAACGCGAGGCUUUUGGAUGGGUCUGCGGCUGAUUAGGUUGUUGCCGGUGUAACGUACCGUCAAGCCUGUAAUCAGUACGGGUUGUGGGAGCAAGAGCCCGGAGAUGGAUUCUGAGACACGAAUCCAGGCCCUACGGGGCGCAGCAGGCGCGAAAACUCUACAAUGCAGGCAACUGCGAUAGGGGGACAUCGAGUGCUCUUCAUAUUGGAGGGCUGUCCACCCGCCUAAAAAGCGGGUGUUACAAGGGCCGGGCAAGACCGGUGCCAGCCGCCGCGGUAAUACCGGCGGCUCGAGUGGUGGCCGAUAUUAUUGAGUCUAAAGGGUCCGUAGCCGGCUUUGCAAGUCUCUCGGGAAAUCCAGCGGCUUAACCGUUGGCCUCCGGGGGGUACUACAUUGCUUGGGACUGGGAGAAGCGAGAGGUACUCAGGGGGUAGGAGUGAAAUCCUGUAAUCCUUUGGGGACCACCGGUGGCGAAGGCGUCUCGCCAGAACAGGUCCGACGGUGAGGGACGAAAGCUAGGGGCACGAACCGGAUUAGAUACCCGGGUAGUCCUAGCCGUAAACGAUGCUCGCUAGGUGUCACAACAGUCGUGAACUGUUGUGUGCCGUAGGGAAGCCGUGAAGCGAGCCACUUGGGAGUAAGACCGCGAGG